UACGUAGGGAGCAAGCGUUGUCCGGAAUCAUUGGGCGUAAAGCGCGCGUAGGUGGCCUCAUAAGUCCGCUGUGAAAGUCAAAGGCUCAACCUUUGAAAGCCGGUGGAUACUGUGAGGCUAGAGUACGGAAGAGGCGAGUGGAAUUCCUGGUGUAGCGGUGGAAUGCGCAGAUAUCAGGAGGAACACCAAUUGCGAAGGCAGCUCGCUGGGACGUUACUGACGCUAAGGCGCGAAAGCGUGGGGAGCGAACAGG
rnacentral:rRNA from 1 species